AAGAGACAGCGCCGCCGGCCGUGGGGAGCGGACGCAGUGAUUUGCUCCCCCUCGUGCAGCAACCCCCACACCCAGCACCAGGAGCCUGUUCCUCUCACGCCCUCACCUGGCUGAGCCGCAGUAGUUCUUCAGUGGCAAGCUUUAUGUCCUGACCCAGCUAAAGCUGCCAGUUGAAGAACUGUUGCCCUCUGCCCCUGGCUUCGAGGAGGAGGAGGAGCUGCUUUCCCCAUCAUCUGGAAGGCUUUCUGCCUCCGAGAUGUGGCACCAUAGUGCGGUGCCCUGUGGCUUCACCGCCCUACUUCCACCUCCGCCCAGCCUGUAAUGUUUAUAUAAGCAGCCUCAAGGACCAAGAACCAUCUGCGAAAGGACACACACAGGAAAUUCAUAAAAGAAAUCUGAAUGGAUAAAACCAUGAAAAAAAGUAUGCUUCAUUAGUAAUUAAAGAAAGGCAAAUAGAGCUGGAAGCAUUUUUCCCUUAGCAAACCAUAACAGAAAAAAAUAAGACCCAAUAUUGGCAAAGAGACUACUGAAAAAACAUUCCCAUACAU
rnacentral:lncRNA from 1 species